UGGCGGACGGGGGAGUAAUGUCUGGGAAACUGCCUGAUGGAGGGGGGUAACUACUGGAAACGGUAGCUAAUACCGCAUAACGUCGCAAGACCAAAGAGGGGGACCGUUCGGGCCUCUUGCCAUCGGAUGUGCCCAGAUGGGAUUAGCUAGUAGGUGGGGUAACGGCUCACCUAGGCGACGAUCCCUAGCUGGUCUGAGAGGAUGACCAGCCACACUGGAACUGAGACACGGUCCAG
rnacentral:rRNA from 1 species